GACGAACGCUGGCGGCGUGCUUAACACAUGCAAGUCGAACGGAAAGGCCCUGCUUUUGUGGGGUGCUCGAGUGGCGAACGGGUGAGUAACACGUGAGUAACCUGCCCUUGACUUUGGGAUAACUUCAGGAAACUGGGGCUAAUACCGGAUAGGAGCUCCUGCUGCAUGGUGGGGGUUGGAAAGUUUCGGCGGUUGGGGAUGGACUCGCGGCUUAUCAGCUUGUUGGUGGGGUAGUGGCUUACCAAGGCUUUGACGGGUAGCCGGCCUGAGAGGGUGACCGGCCACAUGGGGACUGAGAUACGGCCCAGACUCCUACGGGAGGCAGCAGGGGGGAAUAUUGCACAAUGGGCGGAAGCCUGAUGCAGCAACGCCGCGUGCGGGAUGACGGCCUUCGGGUUGUAAACCGAUUUCGCCUGUGACGAAGCGUGAGUGACGGUAAUGGGUAAAGAAGCACCGGCUAACUACGUG
rnacentral:rRNA from 1 species